rnacentral:rRNA from 1 species
GGCGGCGUGUUAAGCAAGAUGUGAAAGCCCCGGGCUCAACCUGGGAAUUGCAUUUUGAACUGGCAUGCUAGAGUCCUGAAGAGGGUGGUAGAAUUUCCAGUGUAGCGGUGAAAUGCGUAGAUAUUGGAAGGAGUACCGGUGGCGAAGGCGGCCACCUGGUCAGAGACUGACGCUGAGGUACGAAAGCGUGGGGAGCAAACAGGAUUAGAUACCCUGGUAGUCCACGCCGUAAACGAUGUCAACUAGUUGUUCGUGUCAUUAAGACGUGAGUAACGCAGCUAACGCACUAAGUUGACCGCCUGGGGAGUACGGCCGCAAGGUUAAAACUCAAAUGAAUUGACGGGGGCCCGCACAAGCGGUGGAGCAUGUGGUUUAAUACGAUGCAACGCGAAGAACCUUACCAUCCCUUGACAUCCAGUGAAUUUUCCAGAGAUGGAUUAGUGCCUUCGGGAACACUGAGACAGGUGCUGCAUGGCUGUCGUCAGCUCGUGUUGUGAGAUGUUGGGUUAAGUCCCGCAACGAGCGCAACCCUUAUCCUUAGUUGCCAGCACGUAAUGGUGGGAACUCUGGGGAGACUGCCGGUGAUAAACCGGAGGAAGGUGUGGACGACGUCAAGUCAUCAUGGCCCUUACGGGAUGGGCUACACACGUGCUACAAUGGCGCAUACAAAGGGCAGCAAGCCAGCGAUGGUUGGCGAAUCUCAUAAAGUGCGUCGUAGUCCGGAUCGGAGUCUGCAACU